CAUAGAUCGAUCAUUGAGCCACUUCUAAUAAGUAUCUCAGCCCGUACUGCGGUGUUCGUCACUGGCUCCUUGGAUGUCGAAUCUAUCAGCACAUACAAGAUCUAUUCAUGCUCCAAAACUAUUUUCAAUUUUCAAUACCAACUAUCAAAAUUAGGUCCCAUUAAUUUAUCACUAUUCAGUAGUGAUCAGAGCGACAAGAUGGUGGCAAUAACUGCCAAAAGAAAAACCAAAAUCUAGUUAGUAUAUAAAUUGAUUAAGCCUCA
rnacentral:lncRNA from 1 species